AUGUCUUAAAGUGAUCAUGUUUUGAAUCUAGGAGUAUUGUUUUGUGUUUUGAGGAUGGUUGCGACUUGCGAGAGGUAAACCAUGCUUGUAUCUAUAUUGGUUUCUUUGUUAGGUGUUGGGUCGCGAUCUAUGGUUUUCUGGUUAACCGUGAUGUAUGUCCUUUCUGCUCUGUCGAGGUAUAUGUACGUUUUGUAUGUGUCACGUCUACAAGCUUGUAUGGUUUUGGUUUUCUUUGUUCUGAUUUCGCAUCUAUACUAUUGUUUUUUUCUUGUCAUUUUCUUGAUCGAAUGAUUGACUUAUGUGUUCGUGCUUAUCUGAUUGAUUUUAUAUCGUAUUGAUCUUUUUUUCUACAAGGUCGACUAAUUUGUUUAGAUAUGGUUUUUAGGCAUAGAUAUUUGCUCGGUGUGUGUGUAUCUUUUCUGUUCUACCGAGAUACAUAUUUCCUCUGUAUCACUUUAUGAACUUGUGUGUUGUUUGUUUGUUGUGUUAUGAUUUCUUCUGUUUAGCUAUUAUUUUUAUUACCUUUUUCUGUUUGUAUUGAUCUAUUGAUUUUCUGCUUUGUUGGUUCAUAUCGGUUAUGAAAUAGAUCUUCUGGUUUUCGUUUUUGUCUUCUCUCUUUUGUUUUUAUUCUUUUGGGUUUGCCUUUGUUUUGCUUUUUACACAAAAGAAUCGAUAUGUUAUUCCCUUCUAUAUAUCUUAUUUUUUUUACAUAAUCGUGUUUGUUGUUUUUUAUUUUUUGUAGGUGCUGCUUAUUUGAGACCAUCCACCACCUUGAGGGAAAAGCUAAGGGAAGAUAAAGCAAGCACAAAGUUCAGCCUUCACCCAAAACCACUUCUCUGUUUUUCACUUUGCAUUGGUUCUCUCUCAGAUCCAGUGGUAAUUUCUUUGGAUCUUUAUUACUUAUCUUAUUCUCAUAUAUUCCAAAGCUUUAGUCACUUCAAAAAUCUUGGUUCGCUUGUGCAAAUUUAUGGUUACUAUACUGAAAUGAUAGCAGUUAAAAACUCAUGGCAUCAAACGUUUUUUUUUAGAGAGGAACUA
rnacentral:lncRNA from 1 species